rnacentral:rRNA from 1 species
GUAGGUGAAGUGAUUUACUCAUGGAGCUGAAGUCAGUCGAAGAUACCAGCUGGCUGCAACUGUUUAUUAAAAACACAGCACUGUGCAAACACGAAAGUGGACGUAUACGGUGUGACGCCUGCCCGGUGCCGGAAGGUUAAUUGAUGGGGUCAGCGCAAGCGAAGCUCCUGAUCGAAGCCCCGGUAAACGGCGGCCGUAACUAUAACGGUCCUAAGGUAGCGAAAUUCCUUGUCGGGUAAGUUCCGACCUGCACGAAUGGCGUAAUGAUGGCCAGGCUGUCUCCACCCGAGACUCAGUGAAAUUGAACUCGCUGUGAAGAUGCAGUGUACCCGCGGCAAGACGGAAAGACCCCGUGAACCUUUACUAUAGCUUGACACUGAACAUUGAGCCUUGAUGUGUAGGAUAGGUGGGAGGCUUUGAAGUGUGGACGCCAGUCUGCAUGGAGCCGACCUUGAAAUACCACCCUUUAAUGUUUGAUGUUCUAACGUGGACCCGUGAUCCGGGUUGCGGACAGUGUCUGGUGGGUAGUUUGACUGGGGCGGUCUCCUCCUAAAGAGUAACGGAGGAGCACGAAGGUUGGCUAAUCCUGGUCGGACAUCAGGAGGUUAGUGCAAUGGCAUAAGCCAGCUUGACUGCGAGCGUGACGGCGCGAGCAGGUGCGAAAGCAGGUCAUAGUGAUCCGGUGGUUCUGAAUGGAAGGGCCAUCGCUCAACGGAUAAAAGGUACUCCGGGGAUAACAGGCUGAUACCGCCCAAGAGUUCAUAUCGACGGCGGUGUUUGGCACCUCGAUGUCGGCUCAUCACAUCCUGGGGCUGAAGUAGGUCCCAAGGGUAUGGCUGUUCGCCAUUUAAAGUGGUACGCGAGCUGGGUUUAGAACGUCGUGAGACAGUUCGGUCCCUAUCUGCCGUGGGCGCUGGAGAACUGAGGGGGGCUGCUCCUAGUACGAGAGGACCGGAGUGGACGCAUCACUGGUGUUCGGGUUGUCAUGCCAAUGGCACUGCCCGGUAGCUAAAUGCGGAAGAGAUAAGUGCUGAAAGCAUCUAAGCACGAAACUUGCCCCGAGAUGAGUUCUCCCUGAGACUUUAGGUCUCCUGAAGGAACGUUGAAGACGACGACGUUGAUAGGCCGGGUGUGUAAGCGCAGCGAUGCGUUGAGCUAACCGGUACUAAUGAACCGUGAGGCUUAACCUUA